ACUCCUACGGGAGGCAGCAGUAGGGAAUAUUGCACAAUGGGCGAAAGCCUGAUGCAGCCAUGCCGCGUGUGUGAAGAAGGCCUUAGGGUUGUAAAGCACUUUCAGUAAGGAAGAAAAAGCGGGGCUAAUACCCCCGUCUUAUGACAUUACUUACAGAAGAAGUACCGGUUAACUCCGUGCCAGCAGCCGCGGUA
rnacentral:rRNA from 2 species